AGUCUCGAACAAAAAAAUAAACUUAAGAUCGAAGCCACAAGACAACAGGACGAGAGCGGCGGCGAUUUCAAAAAACCCUAGAUCUGCUCCGACGAUACCGGCGCGUCCGCGCGCGUCAGGCCGUCGGGAGCUCCGAUGUUCAGUAGUUAGUCUUCGUCUUUGCUUCACGAUCAAAACCCCUCUCCUGCCGCUUUGUUUCCGGUCUCUGGUCAGGCGUGCAAGGUCUUCGGCGUUGGUGGAGUCCGGCGAGCUCUGGAGUCGAGACGCGGUUUGUUGCAGGGGUUCUGGGUGGUGGAAUCGGAUUUUGAGGCCGACAUAGAGGAUUAAGUGGUCGUAUGGGAUUGCGCCAGAUCCGUAUCUGAAGGUUGUGUUGAUCGAAUUUGCGGUCCCUCUUGUCGGAGUAUGAAGUCUCAUGUUCUUGGAGUUUGGACGUUACCAUUUGGCGGGCGUAAGCAGCAGCGGUAAGUCGUGGUGUGACGUUAAGAAGUGGAUGUUAUCGUGUGCGGGUUUGUAGCAGCGACGAUAUUUCCCUGAUCAUUGGCCCGUGCUUGUUUCUAAAGUCUGUUGAAUUAUUUUGUUUAAUGUUCAUUUGUAGUGAUUAGUCGUAAAUCUACUAGCCGAGUCUUCGGGUUCUACAAGUGGUUGGGAUUGUUGGCGUGCCGAGUGCAGCAUCGAUUUUUCCAGGUUAUUGUUAUCUGCUACUUUUGAGGUCUUUUGCACUGGUUUGUCGCAUGUUGUGUGUAGCUAUAUCUAGUUUCUUUGCUUUGUUAAGACUGUGUUCAAAAGUUGCCCCAGUGUGGGUUCUAGCUGUCUGUUCUUUGGGCUCUUGUCUCUGGGGAUGUCUUGUAUCCGCCAGCUUCUGUAUUGAACUAUCGUGUAUUUCAGUUAUGAAUGAAUUUCAAUUUGAG